GGGAGUAAAUUUCUUCUAAAGCUAAAUACUGGCCAGAGACCGAUAGCGCACAAGUAGAGUGAUCGAAAGAUGAAAAGCACUUUGGAAAGAGAGUCAAAAAGCACGUGAAAUUGUUGAAAGGGAAGCGCUUGCAGCCAGACUUGCCUGCGGUUGCUCAUCCGGGCUCUUGCCCGGUGCACUCUUCCGUAGGCAGGCCAGCAUCAGUUUGGGCGGCUGGAUAAAGGCCUCUGUCAUGUACCUUCCCUCGGGAAGGCCUUAUAGGGGAGGCGUAAUGCAGCCAGCCUGGACUGAGGUCCGCGCAUUUGCUAGGAUGCUGGCGUAAUGGCUGUAAGCGGCCCGUCUUGAAACACGGAC
rnacentral:sRNA from 1 species